GACAGGGGGCCCGAGCGUUAAUCGGAAUCACUGGGCUUAAAGGGUGCGUAGGCGGACUGCUAAGUGUCGUGUGAAAGCCCACCGCUCAACGGUGGAACCGCACGGCAAACUGGCAGCCUGGAGGAAUCUAGAGGCCGGUAGAACGAUUGGUGGAGCGGUGGAAUGCGUAGAUAUCAAUCGGAAUGCCAAAGGUGAAGACAGCCGGCUGGGGAUUUCCUGACGCUGAGGCACGAAAGCGUGGGGAGCAAACAGG
rnacentral:rRNA from 1 species